UUAAACAAACCCCAGUAAAAUUUGAAUCUUUCCUUAUUUUUUUUUAUUUUUCAUUUCUUUUUAUAAUUUUUUAAAAUUAGAUAGAGUUUCGUCAUGCCAACCCUAGAAAGAAGAUAUCUUCUCCGCCGUUCUCUCUCGAUGUUCCACCAUUCUUCACCAUUCUCCGCCGUUCUCUCUUGAUCUUCCACCAUUCUUCUUUGAUGCUUCACCAUACUCCGUCGUUCGCUCUCGAUGUUCCACCAUUCUCCCUUGAUGCUCCACCGUUCUCCCUCGAUGUUUGAAGUUCAAGGUUGAAGCUGCUAGAUUCCUUGAUUUAUUUGCUACAUGUCUAAGCCAUAAUUCAACUCACUUCAACAGAAAGAUCAUCUGUCCUGGGAUAUCUUCCCUCCAUUGCGGAGUUGAAAUCUGGAGCUAAUUUCUUCAAUUAUAGCCCCUCUCUUUUCCUAAUGUCUACCCGGUGGAUUUGUUUGAACACACAUGGAUCUUCGACAGACUUGAUCGUCUUGGAAUUUCAAGAUAUUUUCAGUCAGAAAUCAAAGAUUGCGUGACCUAUGUUUCAAGACCACCUGAAGAUGAAGAAAACAUCAAUCAAAUGGAGAAACAAAUGACUCAGAUCAAGAUUGAUACAGAAGAAUCUUAUUAGACUUUCAUUUUAUUUGACUUUAUAACAAGUAUAACAAAGAUAUUGUAAUAUUUCAGUAGUUUGAAUGUUUAAACUUUAUUAUUUACUUUGAACUUAUAGACUAUGUUCCUUGUUUUUA